GUGAUAUUGAACCACCACCUUUUUACUGGAGCUAAAAACUCAGACACCGUGGCUUGGAGGACAGUUCUGGAGAAGAUGGACCAACAGGGGAAGGUCAUCCCCUUUGCAGGACAAAAUAAUGUGGGACAAUUAAAAAAAAAAAAAAAGAAUUUAGAUUAUGUUCAGAAGUUCUCAUGUCACACACAAAUAAAAAAUAUUUCUAAAA